UACGGAGGAUCCGAGCGUUAUCCGGAUUUAUUGGGUUUAAAGGGUGCGCAGGCGGGAGAUUAAGUCGGCGGUGAAAUUUUGCAGCUCAACUGUAAAAGUGCCUUCGAAACUGGUUUCCUUGAGUGUAGAUGAAGUAGGCGGAAUUUGUGGUGUAGCGGUGAAAUGCAUAGAUAUCACGAGGAACUCCGAUUGCGCAGGCAGCUUACUAAACUACUACUGACGCUCAGGCACGAAGGCGUGGGGAUCAAACAGGAUUAGAUACUCCGGUA
rnacentral:rRNA from 1 species